GACUGCUCCAAUGGCCUAGUGGUUAGAGCGUCUACCUUGGAUGUGGGAGGUCAUGGGUUUGAUCCCCAACUGAGUCA